GUGGCUCUUUGGAACUAUCUAUAAUUUUCCUGACCUCCUCUUUAAAGUGAGUGUAAUCAGGGGUUACAGAAGAAGUUUGAACUUCAGCUGAAAUUAAAGCCCGAAAAAUGAAAUGAAAAAUUUGUUCAACUUUGAGUAUCGAGGGCAGUAAUUUUUGCCUCACCCAGAAAUUAUCCAAGAUGUCUUUCAUAUAGUCAAGUUUACCACUAUAAGCAAUUAAACGUAUUAACUCAUAAAGUGUAGAAUGAUUUGGACGUAAACCAUAAUGCGAAAGAUCCUGAAGCAAUGAAAAAGCGACUGUUUGAAAACGAACAUCGGUAGCUAAAGCAUGAAUUAAAUUAUUAAUAACGAACGUUGUAGGGGUUAAUGGAU